rfam:Bacillus endophyticus strain Hbe603 plasmid pBEH1, complete sequence.
GGGAGCGAAAUGAGUAGGAAACUCUCACGUUUCGUUCCGCGAGAGGGGUUUGGAAAAGCGCCAUCCACCGAUGGUAGCUCGCUGGGCUCCUACUCGAAC